rnacentral:lncRNA from 1 species
CCUCUACCCUCCCCACCUCGUCUCUUUGUCUCUGUGUCUCCUGGUACCUAGGACAGGACUGGAUUCAUAGAGGAUUAGUAAGUGUUUGUUGAAGGAAUAAAUGCAUGUCUAUCAUGGUAACCAUUCAAAUGAUCUAGUUUCUUUAAAUUACUAAAUGAUUUUAAAAACAAACUCAUUAAAAGAUUGAAAUUUAGCUGGAUGAUUUGAUGCAAAAAGGUAAUUGUUUAGAAAAUUCAGGUACCUUUUGUAAUUAAUUAUAAAUAAAUAUGCAUUAUGUAUGCACAUAGACCUGACUACAGAGAAUGAGAAAGAAAUUAUACGUUAUUGUUUGUAUCAGAAAUAGGAUUUUACUAAGUCAGUAGGACAACUAAGUAUUUUAAAUAGGAAUUUUACUGUGCUUUUAUUUUUAUAGUGGCUUCCAUUUAAGAGGAAAAUCUUAAUUACAUGUAGAUAUAAAUAUGUGAAAUAUAAUUAUAAAAUUCUACUCAGUCAUGUAAGAAUUUCACUGUAAUAAUGAAUUUAUAUUAUUCAAGAUUUAUCUUGGAUCUUUCAUAGGGAUAUCGUACAUAAAGUACCAGAAUCUCAAAAUAAUGCUGUCUUGGAGUUCCUGUUGUGGCUCAGUGGUAACAAACCCAACUCUUAUCCCUGAGGAUACCAGUUCGAUUCCUGGCCCCACUCACAAGGCCAGGGAUGGAACCUACAACCCCAUGGUUCCUAGUUGGAUUUGUUUCCACUGCUCCAUGACAGGAAUUCCUUGAACCACUUACUUUUGAUUUAGAGAUUAUCUCCAACUGAAUUACUGUCUUAGACAUAACACAUCCACUCAAGUAAAUGUAAAUAGGUUAGAUAAUUUGUAGGGAACCUGCUUAAAUAAGACCCUUUUAGGAAUCUGUCUUACUCUACGCUCUUGGCUCUGAAAGCCAAGGCUUGGACAAGGAUUUGCGUACAAGCAGUUUAUUGGAAAAUGUCAUACCAGGGAGCACGAGUAUAAGACCAGAUGCAUACAAAAGGGAAGAAGGAUAAGCCAGUGCAAGAAUGCCUCAUCAAGGCAGCCAGCCCUAUGGAUGACAUAUGUCUCACCCCACCAGGAUCUCCAGAGGCAUCUUCUAAAAGGUAUCUCAGAACUAUGUAUCUAGGGCAAAAAGCAUUUGCCCAUGGGUUUCUAUUUCUCAUUGGUCAAACAGGACCUGGAAACAUUGCUCCCAAAAGCUUCAUGUGCCCCUAUUUGAAAACAUAGCAGGUGCUGUGUGACCCUUGAGACUUAUGGGGAGAAUGGCCAGCGCCUACACUAGCCUCACGUCCUUAUGUAUUUCUGAGCCAGUUCCCGUGCCUGCAUAUCCUUAAAGACCACUGCUCCCUUUUUUUUUUUGCGAUUUUAUGAGUGGAAUGGUUUUUCAAAACAAACAAGAAAAUACUUAAUUAAUAGAGUUUAGGUACAUUUUCCAGAGAAGAAUUCAAUUAAUUUUUAGUAUUUUCAACUAACAGGUUUUCACUAGUUAACAUUACCAUUCAAAGAACAUUUCAAGAGAGUUUUAAUCUAGAUUGGUACACAAACUUUUAAAUAUGACAAGAAAGUAAAACCACUUUUAUAAUUAAAAUUCGUGUAUAUAUAUUUUUUUUGUUUUUAGGGCUGCACCUUUGGCAUAAGAAAGUUCCCAGGCUAGGAUCUGAAUAGGAGCUGCGGCUACUGGCCUACACCGCAGGCACAGCAACUUGGCAUCUGAGCCACGUCUGUGACCUACACCACAGCUCACAGCAAUGCUGUAUCCUUAACCUACUGAGCAAGACCAGGGAUCCAGACCCACAUCUUCAUGGAUACUAGUCAGGUUCUUAACCUGCUGAGCCAUGACAGGAACUCCAUAAAAUUUGUAGUUUUUUAUGAUAUAAAUUUUUAAAUUCUCUAAAAUGCCAUUAUGUAUAGCUAAGGUCUUAUCUACAUUAGGUAUGUCUUCAGUUAUUGAUGGGUUUUAGUAAUAGUGUGAAGGUCUGAUCUUUGGCAACUAGUACAGACCUACACAUUUUAUUUAAAAGUGAAUUUUAAAUGUGUGUGUCACAAAAGUACCACCAUUGGCAGGAUAAUACGUCUAUUUUUCCUUUUGAUUAAUACAAAGCAACAUAAUUUAUUUUUGAUCCUUUCAGAUAGUCAAGAGCAUUUUUAUGCAGUUACAAAGUGUUCUCUCUCUCACUCUCACUUUCUCUCAUAUAUGAUCUGAUUGAAAAUUUCGUGAGACUUUUAGAAUCCCUAUUAGGACAAGAUGUAGUAGUGAUGAUAGGAGAAGUAGGCUUAAAAGUGAUAGCUUUGCAAAAACAAAAAAUAACACAUAUAUAUAUGUACAUUUGAAAAUAUAUUUGCACUCCAACAUUCAUAGCAUCAUUAUUUAUAAUUAAUAAGAUAUGGAGGCAACGAGUGUCCUUCAACAGAAGAAUGGAUUAAGAAAAUGUCAUAUACACAACGGAGUAUUACUCUGCCAUAAAAAGAAUGGAUUUUUGCCAUUUGCAUGUAGCAGCAUGGGUGGACUUGGAGGGCAUUAGGCUAAGUGAAAUAACUCAGACAAAGAAAGACAAAUACUGUAUGAUAGCACUUACAUAUGGAAUCUAAAAAAAUACAACAAAGUAGUAAAUGUAACAAAAAGAAGCAGACUCAUAAAGAACAAAUUAGUGGUUACCAGUGGGGAGGAGGAGAGGGAAUAUAGCGUUCAGUAAGGGGAAGGUACAAACUGGUGGGUGUAAGAUAGAUAGGCUCAAGGAUGUAUUGUACAACAUGGAGAAUAUAGCCAAUAUUUUAUAAUAACUCAAUUUUGUAUUUUAUAAUACAAUUCCCUUAAAAUUGUAUAGAGAUUAAUAAUAUUUUUUCAAAAAAUGUGAAAGUGAUGAUGUUGUCAUUAUACUUUGUAAUCAUUUAGGGAAUCCAAGCAUGUGAAAAUUUCCAGAGCCCCUACUGAUUAAUAUUGGAAAUAAUCUUGUUCUGCUCCCUGAAGAGAUUUAAUAUAGUAUGUCUUUCUUAGAAACUAAGUUUACACAGGAGCAAUUAAAUUACUACGGAAGAUUGAAUGAUUGUCAAUAAGUAUUUGCUCUUCACCACCACCACUCAGUUGACUUGCUCUGGCUGAUAAAAUGUGGAUGAAAUAACAUACACAUUUGGAGCUUAGGAGUAAGAGGCAUUACAUGUUUCUGAUUUUCCCUCUGGAAGCUCCUGAUCUCUGCCUUGAGAGGAACAAACCCCUCCUGCCUUGGCCCCUGAUGAGAUACAGAGUAGAACUGAAGUCAGUCGCAAGCUGGAGCCAAGCGCACUACCUGAAACCUUUAGGAGAACCUUCCAUCAGAGCCCAAUCUGAGCUGUUGUCCACCAUGCUGACUGCAAGCAUGACAAUAAUUGCUUGCUACUCAAAGCCACUGGUAUGUAGGUAGUUUGCUAUAUAACUGUAUUUUGAGAAAAGCUGACUGAAGCAGUUGUUCACACAGACAAACCUACAGAGACAAUUUUACAUUUGUAAUAAUUUUCAGUAUAUACGUGGCACAAAAAUCUGGGUCUUUGGGAUGGGACCUGAUAACAGAUUAAAUAGGAAUUAGGAAUGUGAAUUGCGGGAUCAGAUUAAGCCAAGUUUCUACUCUGUGUUUGUUAGCUGGUAACUGUCUGAGCAAGUUCUCUGAACUCGAGUUUUCUUAUCCAUAUAGUGAGAAUUAAGGAAGAUAAUGCAGAUAAAGUACUUAGCACAGGGUCUGCUUCACAGUAAGUGAAGCACGUUUGGAAGAUCUUAUGAUCUUACUGUCAUACUAUCUUAUCUUAUGAUUGUUAGGUUGCACGUAAUGGAUCAGCACAGUUAUGUACAGCUGGAUUAUCACUUAAACUGACCCUCUCUUUGACGUUUAUUAGCUCAAGCUACGUGGCCCUGGUCCUUUCUAAAGUCUAAUGCUUUUUCCGAGAUUUUUGUGAAUUCCUGCAGGAUUUAUUUGCAUGGCUACCUCUCCGCUGGAUUCCACUGGGCUGAGUCUCAUGUACAGUUUAUCAACCCUGAUUUUCUUCUUUCUCUCCGCCAUGCCAGUUCAGCCAUGGAAUUCAAUUCCUUUUCUUUGAUUUACAUGACAAAAGCACUCUGAAGUCUUUUAUGUAUAGCAGAUUACUCAAGGCUUGCAUCAGAGGAGACGGUUUACC